AGUCCGCCCGCGCCGCCCCGGGACCGCCCGCCCCGCCCGCCCCGCCCGCCCGCUCCCCGCGCCCGGCGCCGCGGGCCAGCGUUGCCCGCCAGGUGUGGGGCGAGUGUCCCCGCUGCGCUCACUGCGCCCCUGAAUCUCUCCUUCCGGCCCUGCUCCGCUGCCUCCUCCUCCAGGAAGCCUUCCUGGAAGCCGACCAGGCCUGCGGGGAAUCUGACGUUUGCGAGGCCUCCGGCGGGGCAGAGACGGCCCGCCCUCUGGAUUCUGUGAAGAGCGAGCCGGAGAGCAGCCCGGGAGCGCGCGGAGCGCUCCGCCGCCUUCGCGGGUCCCACAGGCGCUCCAUCCAGCCCGCGGGCAGCUGGGAGAGGUCUCCCGUUGACCUCGGAUGAUGUGGUGGCUGUGAGUGGGCCUGAGGACAGAGGCUCCUCUGUGCUGGACAACCUGGCCGUGCCUGGAAAUGAUCCUAAAGUGUCUGCGAAUUGUUGCAGACGAGACAGAGCCCCUCAUCCAGCCUCUCCCUACCCCCGGCCCCAGGCGCCCACUGACCUGCUCCCCAUCCCUCCACUGCUGCCCUUUGCAGAAGGCUGUGUGUGGAGUCGGGAGUUCACAGCCCUCCGCCGGGUGCGUGGAGCUCUAGCCCGCGUGUGGUGGUGCGCAUCAGCGGUGGUUCCUUUACUGAUGAGUAGGAUUCCUUCCUAUGGAGGCUCCACAGUUUGUUUUCAGAGACUGAAUAUGCAGACAAUGGCCAGACCAUACACAAGAAUAGAACUCUGACCCCUGAGCCCUCAUCUGUGGGAACCAGCUCAGGAAGCCAAAUACUAACAGUAACAGUAACAGUAACAGUAAUGGUAACAGUAAUGGUAACAGUAACAGUUGGCCCAGAGCGGCUGGGAUUUGAUCCAUUGCAGCAGCUUCCCUGACUUUUGUCCCCGCUUCCAACCAAGGACCAGCCAGAGAAAGCCAAGUGUGCCCCCAGCCAGUCAUGCGGGAUGCCCACUUCCAGUCAGUGCCCCCAGCUCCCCAGGCCCACGGCCCCAUCAGGACACACCCGGAACCUUCCUCUUCCACCAUGAAGCUCCCGGUUCUCCUCUGCCUGCCUUCGGGUCUCUGCCCAAAUCAAUUUCCAUCGUAAUUAAGAAUUGCGUCUCCUUUGCGUUGGCAGUUCAGGACUCCAGUCUUGAGGACGUGGACCCUAACCACACAGUCAGUAAGUGCAUCUACGGAAUUUUCCUUUUCAUAAAAAUUUCACAAACAGACACGAUAAUGACUGCUAAACACGAGUCAUGCACAGUUUACUGAUAACAGAAGCAAUUUACAAUCAGGGGACAUGGCACACACGUCAGCCUCCUUCCUGAUGGUUUCUUUAAACGUUAUAUGAAAACCAGACAUUUACUCUUCAUUUCUUCUUCAACACUCUACAGUUUCAAAAGAAAAAAACAAAAAACAAACUAAACCAAAUCUGAAAUGUAACAACGGCCAGAGGAUGGCGCGGCUGCACAGGUCGGGGUGCCUGCACGCGUAUAUACCUGUGUGUGCUUUCAGCGACGUGUUCUGACAUGGGGCUCAGCUUCCCUCGUCUUGAAGAGAACAGUGACGAUGCAAAACGCACGGAGAGAAACCUCUAGAAUUACUUUGUUCACAAGUGAAUUGCACAUUUGGAAAUUCAAGCUGCCUUUUCAUUAUAUUUUCUUUCAUUUUUUUUUCCAAAAGUGGUAAUUUGAAUCAGUGACAGAAAAGAAUAAAACAAAAAAACUGGAAUGGAGGAGAAAAGGAACGCUCCUUGGAAUAUCACAAGAAUGUCUUAGUCACAGUAUCGCUCAUUGCUACAGAGACACAGUUUCAUGGCUUUGAUACCCGGCUGACCUCCACUGACCAGGAGCAGCUGUGUCCUCACGUCCCCAGCCGGGAGGGGAGCGAGGUGCCGGGCUCCCCGUCUGUCCCCGGGCAGCAGUGCAGGGGCGCGCUCUCCCGGCCUGGCGCUGCCCCUCGCCCCUCCCCCAGGACAGCACAGUGAAUACAGCUCAGUAGAUUUCAGUCAUGUGGGUGGGGAGAAGGGGGACGGGGGCAGGGGGGUCCACAAUCCAGUGCUUCGAGGCUUCGAGGCUAACACGGGUGAUAUGUAUUCGGGCGAGUGCUUUGCGAAUGCUCACUGAGGAAGCAGCUAGGACAGAGCAGGCCAAGGGUCCUCAGAGUUUCCAGGGCCAAGCUCUGGGGCCACAGAGGGGCUGGGCCAGUCAUGGUCUGGACUGACCAGCUGCACUCUUGGCCUUGUACAAGAGGGCCACGUGGGCUGGGUGGUCUCUCAGGUCGAUCCACACCCCAGGGUCCCAGGCAGGCUGCAGGAAUGCGAGUCCCCGUGUUCCCAUUGGGGAGCUCUGAGUCCCACUCAUGAAAGGUCUGGCUGGCCAAAGGAUCAGCACCCCUGUGUGUCCUACCCGAUCGUCCUGGGAAUGAGAGCACAGUAGGGGAGGGCCACUGGAGACUGGGGGCUGAGGGUGGCAGAGGGAAGAGCCAGGGGGCCUCCUUCUGAAUUUCCAUUUGGGGCUGAGUGUCAAUGGUCCAAAAAAGGGAGGCAGUUAAGGCUGGACUGAAGGACCCUGGCCCUGGGCAAAGCUGGCCCAGUAGGACCUGGGUUUACAGCCUCGACCCUAGCCACGUGCCCAUGGACACGGUGGUCAGCCAGCCAGCUGCCCUGUUGCAUCCGUGCUCCGAGGCUGGGAUCUCGGAAUUCUCAUGCCCAUCCCAGGCUCCUUGGCCCCCAGGGGGUCUCUGAGCACGUGGUGGCAUCUGCAUCAAGGAUGCUGGACCUGUGUGAGCUGGGAGCUGCCCCCCAGGUGCUGGAGCCCGGGGCAGAGAGGAAGCAGGGAGGGCAGCUUGCUGUGGUCUGGGGCAAUGACAAGCUUUGAGGCCAAGUUUCAUGGAUGCACCAGGCACAGGAAAUAAGUGCUCUCUUUGUCAGGGGGUCCAAGGGCAGACCCCCCUCCCCCAGACUUGGCAAGAGCUCCGGCCCGCGGGGCUGAACAUUCAGGAGAAAUUGGGCUUGCUCUAGUCAUUUUCUGGGGGACAAAAAUAUAGGACUAAAAUGUGCAACUGAGGCUCAUAGGGGACGAGGGGAAAAGAAGGAAUGAGAAGAGAGAACGCUUGGGAAGACUGGCCGAAAACGACGGGACGUGGCAGUCAACAGAGAAAUCCAGG